CGUAGAAGAUGACUACGUUGAUAGGCUCCAGGUGUAAAGUCAGCAAUGGCAAAGCCGAGGAGUACUAAUUGCCCGUAGACUUUGACCUU
rnacentral:rRNA from 1 species